rnacentral:rRNA from 1 species
UACGAAGGGGGCUAGCGUUGCUCGGAAUCACUGGGCGUAAAGGGUGCGUAGGCGGGUCUUUAAGUCAGGGGUGAAAUCCUGGAGCUCAACUCCAGAACUGCCUUUGAUACUGAGGAUCUUGAGUUCGGGAGAGGUGAGAGGAACUGCGAGUGUAGAGGUGAAAUUCGUAGAUAUUCGCAAGAACGCCAGUGGCGAAGGCGGCUCACUGGCCCGAUACUGACGCUGAGGCACGAAAGCGUGGGGAGCAAACGGG